rnacentral:rRNA from 1 species
UACGGGNGGCCAACGUGUCUUCGGAAUUAUUGGGCGUAAAGCGCGUGUAGGCGGUUUGAUUAGUCUGAUGUGAAAGCCCUGGGCUCAACCCAGGAAGUGCAUUGGAAACUGUCAGACUUGAAUACGGGAGAGGGUAGUGGAAUUCCUAGUGUAGGAGUGAAAUCCGUAGAUAUUAGGAGGAACACCGGUGGCGAAGGCGGCUACCUGGACCGAUAUUGACGCUGAGACGCGAAAGCGUGGGUAGCAAACAGGAUUAGAAACCC